rnacentral:misc_RNA from 1 species
UACGUAGGGUGCGAGCGUUGUUCGGAAUCACUGGGCUUAAAGCGUGCGUAGGCGGAUAGGAAAGUCAGAAGUGAAAUCCCGGGGCUCAACCUCGGAACUGCUUUUGAAACUUCUUGUCUAGAAUCCGACAGAGGUUAACGGAAUUCCGAGUGUAGAGGUGAAAUUCGCAGAUAUUCGGAGGAACACCAGUGGCGAAGGCGGUUAACUGGGUCGAUACUGACGCUGAGGUGCGAAAGCGUGGGGAGCAAACAGG